UCAUGUGGAGGGCAACUGAACAUGUCACGAGUGAAAAAUGAACACGCAAAGAAUAUAACGAAAAGACACUGUCUACUCUAACUGCCAGUUACAUAUAUCACCAUAGAUAACGCUGUUUGAACAUUAUGCGCGUGCGAGUAUAGUAAACACACAAAAAGAAGCAGGUAGGGUUUGAGCGGUGGCGCUGCUUACCACACCUUCAUCGCGCCUACACGCUGGGUUGCAUUUCUCCGGCACAAACAACCGUACGAGUGGUCGCUAAUGGCGGACGGUGGAGGUGGUGUUCCUGGCGCAUUUGUGAUUUCACUCUAAAUAGGAAGGAAUCGGCGCUGGAUUGUUACACAACUGUUGCACCAGUGAAGGAUGUCUGUGUGCCGCCUUGCAUUCAGUUUCUCAGCCAUGGGCGCCUGCUUGCAACACCAGUGGAAAAGCAGUCUUGCAUUGUGCUAUUUGUUCUGGAAGGACACAAGCAUUGAGGAGCCAUUUGACCUGCCACUACACUGAUAUUGUAUUUGGCAAAGCAGGAGGCAUGUGCAAGCAACUAGUCAUUCCGAUUCUCAACCAAUCCUUCUAGUCAGGCCAUUUCUAGUGUCUUAUCUUGCAAGUUCUUUUUUUCAGUAAAGCACAAUAAACAUGCAGUUUCGUUCAGA